rnacentral:rRNA from 1 species
CACGUAGGGUGCGAGCGUUGUCCGGAAUUAUUGGGCGUAAAGAGCUCGUAGGCGGUGUGUCGCGUCGGCCGUGAAAACUUGCAGCUUAACUGUGGGCGUGCGGUCGAUACGGGCAUCACUGGAGUUCGGCAGGGGAGACUGGAAUUCCCGGUGUAGCGGUGAAAUGCGCAGAUAUCGGGAGGAACACCGGUGGCGAAGGCGGUUCUCUGGGCCUGACCUGACGCUGAGGAGCGAAAGCGUGGGGAGCGAACAGG